CCAGCACCACCAGGUACCGUCCGGUCCGACCUCCGACGUGUCGCCGAGAUACCUAUUGUCAAACCAAAAGACAACUGCCUUUCCAUGGCUCCCGAAAGCAAAAGAGAAGCAACUUUUUGUUAGGAAUAGAAUUAGAGUAUUUGUUAAUUUACUAAUUAACAAAUGCUAAUUAAGGAACCGACAUAGGAACCGACCUUGUACUCUCUAACUGCUAUGAGCAGUUGUACUUCCUCUCUCAUCUUAACAACUGCUAUGUGCAGUUGCUGUUUUGUCUCACGCAUUGACAACCGCAUGUUGCGGUUAGAAAUGCUCUCACAGAAUUGUAACUGCUCUCUGUAUAUAUAGUGCUCAAUCAAUGAGAAUCAACUACUUCUGUCAAAUCACUUUUUCACUUUACACGUUAUCAGUACUCGCUCUGCCGAGAGCGACAGAGAGCCAUCGCAGGAAAGGUAAGAAUGGCAGGGAGGGACCUGCCGUCGCUUGCUUUCGCUAUUGCACGCUUCCUCCAGAGAGAGAACCGUCGCUUUCCGCGCACCCAUCGCCACCGUGCUGCAAGUCGCCGUCGCCGUCAGGGACUUGGCGCAAGGAGUGGCCCUCGCCGCCGCUUUUUCGCCUGGAACAACCGCCAGAACCGCCGCCGUGGGUACGCACGCCAAGGCAACCGCCCGCUCCGUGGGCGAGCACCAACGGUGCACCAGGCUGGACCCUCGGCUCCGGCCACCGCUGCAAACCAUGCUGGGCCUUCGGCUCCGGCUCGGGCCGUCGCCGAUGACUACAUCGUACCGACGACUCCGCCGCCAUCUGUCUUCACCAUCCCUCCUAUGGAUUGGCUCCUUGGAGGUCCAUCGGCGCCAUUCCUCGGAGAAGAAGAGAUGUUCCCUUGCGAACUCGCGCCGCCGCCUCUGCCCCCGUACUGUGUGCGACACGGGUUUGAAUCGUGCCCAGCGCGUACGGGCGCACCACCGCGAAAGCCGUCUCCGACACCAUCAGAUGAACUGCCGGAGCACUUCAUGCCUCCUGGAUACGGUCCCGUCCCGGAUCUCCCAUCCCCGACGCCGGCGGCAGCGGGAACCGGCGGCUACCCCUCCAUCCCCGACUUGAACAUCAAAAUCAAGGUUGAAGAAGAGGAGAUAGAGGACCAGGGCUCGUCGUCGACGCCACCACCUUCAUCACCGGCGACACCACCUCCUCCUCCGGCACCGCCUCUUCCUCCGACGCCUCCGCCGGAAGCCCGCCGGAUCCUGCGCCAGUUCGCUGCGGCCAUGGCGCAGAACCGUGCAGCCCUUCGUGGCGCGUGGUCGCCAGAUGCCCUUGGCCUCACCGGCGCCCCUGGGGCGAGCAGCAGCGGAGCAGACCGUGCUGCGAAGCGGGGCCCACCUCGCUUCCAUUGAAGAUGGCGAGACGGGGUAGGGGAGAGCCGACGAGCAGCGGUGCUGAGUCCAAGUAUGAACAGAGAAGGGGAAUUGGAAGUGGCAGAGACGUGGGGAAACUCUCGAUCCUGCUAUCCUUAUCCUCUCUCUGUCGGUGCAUGGGCCAGGCCAACUCUCCCCGCUCCUCACCUAAAUAGGCCUACAGGCCAAUAAAUCCAAUAAGUACUGCUGGUGCUAUGGCGUUUUCAACAGAGAAUAGCCAUAGUAUUAAUAUAUUGCAUAGCAGUCAGUCCUGUUCAUUUGAGAGUGCUAUUUUAUUGUACUAAGAAUCUCUGUUUAUUAUAUUCAGUCUGUAUUGUAUUGUAAGUUUGGAUAUCUAGACCACGUAUUAUCUAAAUAAAGUCUCAGACUACGUGUACAUAUUCUAUAUGAUUGCUUCAGCAUUUUCCUUUUGGAAUAUGUAGUUCAUAAGUACAACAAUUUUUAUUUUACAAUUCAUAUUUCGGGAUCACAGGGUAGAUGAGGCAUCUACUGCACUUUGCAGAUUAUCCUCAUUGCUGAAAGAUCUACGUUUCGUCUCUUUUUCUGGCGAAAUGACUAUCUUCGAGUGAUCUCCCAAAUAUGCAAAUUGAUGUGAUUACCUCGAAUAUUAUACUUGCAAAACACAAGGUAACUGUGUGAUCUACUGCAUCAAAUUGCAGACUAUCCACUCUUACUGUGAGGUCUAUAUCUAGUCAUUUGACAGAUGACUACCUUCAAAGUGUUUUUGUAAAAUUUAGUAUGGCACAAGGUAAUGGAUAUAUGAACAUCUACUGGUCAAAACCAGAUUAUGUUCUCCAUUGCUGCGAGAUCUACACCACAACGGUGACUAUCUUCAAAGUGUCAUUUACAUAAAAUGAGGUCUACACAUAUAAGUAUAAAGCAUCAGCUAUACUUCAGAACUUUGCUCUUUUGAAGCAUUUGUUGUUACUUAAAUUUCACUCUCGUAGUAAAACUAAUUUAUGCAUGAUCACAACAUGCAGGAAAAUGGCCGGCGUCAUGAAUAGAGAAUUUCAUGAAUUUGAGCUAGAUGGUAGUAAUUAUUUAUCAUGGGCUAUGGAUACCAAGAUAGCAUUAGAAUGUCGUAAACUUGGUUCCACAAUUAUCACACCUGUUGAAGGCGCUGCGGAAAUCCCGCAAGCAGCCAAAUAUGGAGCAUUAAGUUUUAUAAGGCAUCACCUCCAUCCUGAUUUAAAAACAGAAUAUUUAAUGGAAGAGGAUCCACUUGCUUUAUGGAACUCUCUCAAGGAGAGAUAUGACCAACAAAGAGCAGUUAUGCUACCAGAAGCCCAACGAGAAUGGUCCCUCAUAAGGUUCCAAGAUUUCAAAUCUGUGGCAGCAUACAACUCUGCAGUUCACAAGGUUAAUUCUAAACUAAGAUUUUGCAACCAAGCAAUUUCAGAAGAAGAUCUUAUUGAGAAGACCUUGUGCACUUUCCACCCCUCAAUGAGAGUACUACAACAGCAGUACCGUCAACAAAAAUACAAAAAGUAUUCUGAGCUCAUAUACACUUUACUUCAGGCUGAGAAACAUGAUGAACUUCUCAUGAAGAAUCAUCAGACACGCCCAACGGGCUCCAUGCCACUCCCUGAAGCACAUGCUAACACUCAGUCUACUAAAAAGUAUGGGGGAAAUAAAAAGAAUUUCAAGAAAUUCAAUGGAAAGUGGAAAAGGAACAACAAGAAGAAAACAUUUGGUCAAUCUAAAGGUAAAGGUCACUUCAAGAAAAAUGACCGAAAUACCAACUCCGAGAUUUGUCAAAGGUGUGGAUGUACUAACCAUCGUACUAGCAAAUGCCGAACUCCCAAGCAUCUAGCGGAUUUAUAUCUCAAAUCCACCGGGAAAGGCAAACAAGUUCAUGGAAAAGCAGAAGCUCACUUCAAUGCUUUACAACAAGAAGAGAACCUUGAAGCUAGCACUUCUCAAAGCGCUCCUCAGGAAACAAGGAAGAAGGAUGAAGAUCUUCUUGAUGUCGAUAACAUGAUGGUGGAAUACACCCAAGACGCAUACGGAGAUCUCAUAUAAUCUCCACAUCACUCAUUUGAUGUUAUCAGCUAUUUUAUUGUAAUAAUGGAAGUUAUAAUUUGUAUAACUCUAAGUAGAAUAAAGUCCUACGGACCAAUCAUAUUAUGUAAUUCAGACAUAAUGUCAUAUUUAUUUGUGUAACUGUAAUAUGAAUAAUUUGUAUGUAUUUAUAUGUGAGUAAUGAAUAAAAUUUCAUCCUAAAAUAUUCUCUUACUCUAUAUAGAUUUUACGGGAAGAUAAUCCAAUGGAAGAAGAACUAUGUUUGGUGGACAGUUGUACCACUAACACAAUAUUAAGGGAAAUAAAAUAUUUCCAAACUCUAACUAAGAGACAAGGGAAUAUUAUGACCAUUGCCGGUCGCGAUGCGUCAAUUAUUGGUUCAGGACGAGCCACACUCGUUCUACCUAUGGGUACUACCAUUGUAAUUGAGGAUGCACUCUUGUAUCCUGAAUCUACUCGCACCCUUCUAAGUUUCAAAGACAUUCGAUCAAAUAAUUUCCAUGUGGAAACUAUCUCUGAUAAUAAUACUGAAUAUUUGCUUUUAACAAAGAGCAAUGGGUCUGAGAAACAAAUUGUUGAGAAAUUCCCCUCACUUUCAUCUGGAUUAUAUUACAGUUAUAUAAAACCCGUACCACAUGUUGCGUACAAAAUAAUUUUUCAAGACCUUGAUAAAUUUAAGACUUGGCAUGAUCGCCUAGGUCAUCCUGGCAUAGGGAUGAUGAGAAAAAUUAUUGACAAUUCUAUUGGUCACAGCCUUCCAACUAAAAGAUUCCCCAAAUCAUCUGAUUUUGUGUGCACCGCAUGUGCAACUGGGAAAUUAAUUAUAAAACCAUCUUAUCUUAAAGUAAAAAAUGAGUCAUUAAAUUUCCUUGAACGCAUUCAAGGAGAUAUAUGUGGUCCAAUUCAACCACUAUCAGGACCCUUUAGGUAUUUCAUGGUACUCAUAGAUGCAUCUACUAGAUGGUCACAUGUGUGUCUAUUAUCCACACGUAAUCAUGCCUUUGCCAAGUUAAUUGCUCAGAUUAUCAAAUUAAGAGCAAACCAUCCCGAAAAUAAGAUAAAAACAAUUCGAAUGGAUAAUGCUGCUGAAUUUUCUUCACGCGCAUUUAAUGACUAUUGCAUGGCUAUGGGCAUUAAUUUAGAACAUUCUGUGCCUUAUGUUCAUACUCAAAAUGGAUUGGCUGAAUCUCUCAUCAAAAGAGUAAAAUUAAUUGCUCGACCAUUAUUACAGAAUUGUAAUUUGCCAACAUCUUGUUGGGCACAUGCAGUAUUACACGCCGCAGAUCUGAUACAAAUCAGACCAACUGCAUAUCACACAACCUCCCCGCUGCAAUUAGUUCGUGGCACUCAGCCAAGUAUUUCCCAUCUGCGAAAAUUCGGUUGCGCAGUAUACGUACCGAUAUCACCACCCCAGCGUACAACCAUGGGCCCCCACAGAAAACUUGGGAUCUAUGUGGGUUAUAAUUCUCCGUCAAUUAUAAAAUAUCUUGAACCUCUUACAGGGGACCUGUUUACUGCUCGAUACGCUGAUUCUAUUUUUGAUGAGGACCAUUUCCCGGCGUUAGGGGGAGAAUCAAACCACAAAGAAUGCCAGGAAAUAGAUUGGAAUGUAACAGGCAUCCAGUCCUUAGAUCCACGUACUAAAGAAUCUGAAACUGAAGUUCAGAGGAUUAUAGAUUUGCAACACAUUGCAAAUAAUCUGCCAGAUGCAUUUACUGACCAUAAAGGUGUCACUAAAUCACAUAUUCCCGCUGUUAAUGCACCAGAACGAGUGGAGGUACCAAGUAAAACCACUCAAACCCCAAAUGAGAGUAAGAGGGGGAGAAAUCUGGUUAGCCGGAAUAUAGCUUCUCAGAAGCAUCCGCGGAAACAGAGGAAAUCAAAUCCUCUACCAGUAAAUGCAAUUCAACCUCAAGUUGAAGGACACCAAUCAGAUGCUCAACAUCUAGAACCCAGCAUAAAUGCGCAUACAAAUAUAAUAGCUGGGACAUCGGAACACCAUGACUCUAUUGUUGUGGGAAAUCACAUAGAGUCUGAAGGUAUAAAAGAAAUUUCCAUAAACUAUAUAGAAUCAGGAGAAUCAUACAACAGAGAGACUACAAUUGUCGACAUAUAUUUUGCCUCUGAAAUUGCUGAAAUCCUUCAACUGGAUCCAGAACCAAAGACCGUCAGGGAUUGCCUCAAGCGUCCUGAUUGGCCUAAAUGGAAGGAAGCAAUUGAGGCAGAACUGCGCUCGCUCAACAAAAGAGAGGUAUUUUCCUCAGUAAUACCUACUCCUCAGAAUGUCUUUCCUGUGGGAGCAAAAUGGGUUUUUGUUCGAAAAAGGAAUGAAAACAACGAGGUGGUGAGAUUCAAAGCGAGGCUUGUAGCACAAGGGUUCACGCAGAGACCUGGCAUAGAUUAUGAUGAUACAUACUCUCCUGUCAUGAGUGGAAUAACGUUUCGAUAUUUAAUAUCUUUGGCAGUACAAAUGAAUUUAUCUAUGCAGUUAAUGGACGUAGUGACAGCAUACUUGUAUGGGUCACUCAAAUCGGACAUAUAUAUGAAAGUUCCUGAAGGACUUAAAAUGCCGAAUCCAAAAGCAAAUCGCAACGCAUAUUGUGUAAAAUUACGAAAGUCACUCUAUGGCUUAAAACAGUCGGGUAGAAUGUGGUAUAACCGACUGAGUGAGUUUCUUAUUCAGAAAGGAUACUCAAAUAAUGAUGAUUGCCCUUGUGUAUUUAUAAAGAAAUCCUCAAAUGGAUUUUGCAUCAUCUCAGUGUACGUUGAUGAUCUCAAUAUCAUUGGGAGUACACAUGAUAUAGAAGAAGCACGCAAUCAUUUAAUGACGGAAUUUGAGAUGAAAGAUUUGGGAAAGACCAAAUUUUGCUUAGGCAUACAGCUUGAGCAUCUUCCCUCGGGAAUUUUAGUAUACCAACCUGCUUAUAUUCAAAAGGUUUUGGAAAAAUUCAAUAUGGAUAAAUCAUAUCCAACCAAAACACCCAUGGUUGUCAGAUCCCUUGAUAUGAAUAAAGAUCCUUUUAGACCUCGGGAUGAUGACGAAGAGAUAUUAGGACCUGAGUUCCCGUAUCUCAGUGCUAUUGGUGCGCUAAUGUACCUUGCAAAUUGCACCAGGCCUGAUAUUGCAUUUGCGGUAAAUUUACUAGCUAGACAUAGCGCUGCUCCAACAAAACGUCAUUGGACAGGAGUAAAGAAUAUCUUUAGAUAUUUACAUGGCACAAAAGAUCUUGGCUUAUUCUAUCAGAGAAACCAAGAUAUGACUAUGGUAGGAUAUACUGACGCUGGCUAUCUAUCUGAUCCUCACAAUGCUAGGUCACAGACAGGUUUCGUAUUCUUAUAUGGUGGAACUGCUUUUUCAUGGAAGUCACAAAAACAGACUCUCGUAGCAACUUCCACUAAUCAUUCUGAAAUAAUUGCAUUAUUUGAAGCAUCAAAGGAAUGUGUAUGGCUUCGCAGGAUGAUUAACCACAUUCAAACUUCGUGUGGUAUUGGUUCAUUAGGAUCACCAACUAUUAUUUAUGAAGAUAAUGCAGCUUGCAUUGCUCAAAUGCAAAUGGGUUAUAUUAAAAGUAAUAUUACAAAACAUAUUUCUCCUAAAUUAUUCUUUCCACAUUCAUUACAGAAAGAUGGAGAAAUUGAUAUUUUGCAAACCAAAUCAUGUGAUAAUCUAGCAGAUUUGUUCACAAAGUCUUUACCAAAUUCAACAUUCCAGAAAUGUAUUCAUGGGAUUGGUAUGAGACGCUUUCGGGAUUUGCAAAUUUCAGGGGGAGAAAACUCCUAGAAUUAUGACCCGUUAGUUAUCAUCAGAUAAUAAUUAUUGUACUCUUUUCCUUAUGAGUUUUUACAUCGGUUUUCUCAUAAAAGGUUUUUAAUGAGGCAAUAUAAAUUAUACCAUAUCGUUUUCUCCUUAUAUUUUUCCCACAGGGUUUUAAAAGGAGUUUUCAAUGGUAUAUCUAUUACUCCUCAUAUUUUUCCCACAGGGUUUUUGGGGGAGGUUCUUAAAUUGCUAAAAUGGUUCUCAAGUUGGAUGACGAUUAUACAAGAAGCACUAGAUGAUGAAAUAUACACGAAGCACUAGAAGAUGCGUGAUCCAAGGGGGAGUGUUAGGAAUAGAAUUAGAGUAUUUGUUAAUUUACUAAUUAACAAAUGCUAAUUAAGGAACCGACAUAGGAACCGACCUUGUACUCUCUAACUGCUAUGAGCAGUUGUACUUCCUCUCUCAUCUUAACAACUGCUAUGUGCAGUUGCUGUUUUGUCUCACGCAUUGACAACCGCAUGUUGCGGUUAGAAAUGCUCUCACAGAAUUGUAACUGCUCUCUGUAUAUAUAGUGCUCAAUCAAUGAGAAUCAACUACUUCUGUCAAAUCACUUUUUC
rnacentral:lncRNA from 1 species